UGUUUUCACAAUCAAAUCUUCGGUCCAAUCCAUUAAAAACACGAAUCAAAUUCAUUUCUCGAAAAAGCAAAAGAAAAAAAUCCCAGAAAAAACCUCAGCCAUCCCUCCUCCUUCAUCUCCUCUAUAUAAUCUUCCUCAUAAAACCCUAACUUCCCUCAUCUCAAAAAUCCCUAAAUCAUUUUCAACAAUGGCGUCUGCAAUCUCCCCUCCACAUCAACAACAACACCCACACCUCCUCCGCCCCUCACCACCACCCCCAGAAACCACCACCUCCAUGAUAGAACCACCACCAAUUUCAUCAUCAGAAACAUCAACACCCCACCAUCUAACUCAAGACGAAUUGAAAAAAAUGGCAGCAUACAAAGCAGUAGAGCUAGUCAAAUCAGGUAUGAUUCUCGGCUUAGGCACCGGCUCAACCUCAUACUACGCCGUCAACCGUAUCGGAGAGCUUCUAAAAAACGGCACAUUGAAGAACAUCAUCGGAAUCCCAACCUCAUUGAAAACCAAACAACAAGCUAUUUCAUUAGGUAUUCCGAUUUCCGAUUUGGAUUCUUACCCGGUUCUUGAUUUAUCGAUUGACGGCGCCGAUGAAGUUGAUCCGGGGCUCAAUCUCGUCAAAGGGAGAGGUGGGUCGUUGCUCCGGGAGAAAAUGAUUGAAGGGGCGUCCAAGAAAUUGGUUGUGAUUGUUGAUGAGACUAAGUUGGUUGACAAAUUGGGGUCUAGUACAGGAUUGGCGAUGCCGGUGGAGGUUGUGCCGUUCUGUUGGGGGUACACGGCGGAGUGUUUGAAGAGGUUGUUUAAUGGGUGUGAGGUGAAAUUGAGGAUUGGGGGUGAUGGGAAACCGUUUAAGACGGAUAAUGAGAAUUAUAUUGUGGAAAUGUAUUUUGGGGAAGAUAUUGGGGAUUUGAAUGUUGCUAGUGAUAAGAUGCACAGGAUUGUGGGAGUUGUGGAGCAUGGGAUGUUUAUUGAUAUGGCGACGACUGUUAUUGUUGCCGGGGAGCGCGGAAUUACUGUCAAGCAUAAAGCUUCUUGAGAAUGUGUAUUUAAAACCGCAAGCCUGUAAGAUGUCCAGUGCUGCAAAGGAGCGCAAAUAAUGUCGUCAGGGUUCAAAACCUUUUAGGGUUCCAGACGUCUUAGUACACCAUAUGUCUUCAUCUGCAACACCAAAAUGUAUGCAUAAGUAGUCAAAAAGAAAAGGGAUUCAAGGAAAAAGAAGAAAUGCGACUAUUUGAUAGGGAAAUGAUAAGAGAAACAGUGACAGCCAUGGGUGUUGUAAAGUGUCCAGAUGAGAAGGGAAAUGAUAAGAAAAAUAGCUAUAGAGAAGAAGGGACAUUAUAAGAAAGUGUCCGAAUGAGAUUCAAAAUCUCUCUUACCUGAUGGUCUCUGUCUUUACAGUUUCCCCUGUAUUUUUAAUGCCUUGAAUUGUCUAUAUUGGAAAUCAAUACCUGUGGGAUGCACUCCAUCAAUUGUCUGCAUUAAAAAUAAUUCCUGGGAAUAUCAGAUCAUUUGGAGUUGCAAAGUGCACAGUAUUGUUUUUCUUCUGAUCAGACAAAAUGUAUCUGAAACAGUACAGUGAGAGUAUGCUGCCAGGCUUUACAGACUCACAUUCUUGUAACCUGAACAUCUUUGGGUUUGUC